rnacentral:tRNA from 2 species
GGGCGUGUAGCUCAGUUGGUAGAGCGAGUGUCUUAUACACACUUGGUCCCUGGUUCGAGUCCAGGCGCGCCCA